UGUUGUUCUUGACAUUUGUGUAUGUUGCCGGUUGGGACACUUGUCAUUGUACCUGGUUCCUGUGCCCAGUUCCUUGGCGUUCUUACCAUCCAAAUUAUUGGGCCGCGGUUAUCUCACAGAUUCAGACCAAAACAACAUGACCGAACACAGCCUCCGAGACCGAUGGAGGCCAGUUUGACGACAGGGAAUACAGGAUAUACAGUACCAAGGGAAGGCAGAAGCUCUGUGAACCUGAACAGUAGACGUUUAAAACUAUAAAACUGUGGUUUUCAGCUGUAGUCUGCAGUCUGGCGGUUUUCUAGCUCCUCAGCAGCUCCAGUUUGUGAAGUGGAGUAAAGAGUGGAAAGGGAAGAAAUGCUUCAGAGAGAUGACAAAGCAAGACUGGUGUUUCCAGAGCAGCAGCUCGGCAGGGUGCUGGAGGAGGUGAGCCCUGCCUGUCUGUUGGAUACUCCUCCUCUGUUCCACAGAUGACCAGCGCAGCGUAAGGAAAAGCCCACCAGGAGCUCAAACAGUGAGAGUGGCGUUAGACACUCCCCAACCGCCUUACAGCAUGACUGCCACUGCCCUUGACGUCUGAAACAUGUAUUGGAUUAAAAUAUGUAUCAGCACUUAUUGGUAAGACAAUCACUCUGCCUCUCCCUGUUUCGAUUUCUUAGUUUUCCUUUUCAGGAAACAUCGACAAAAUCUCAGAUCACUUCACACUGACAUUUCAAGGGGAGGAGACGUAUCAAGGCAGCGUGAUAGUAUGAAUGGUAUCCACUGCCAACAGCAUCUCAGGCUGGAUCCCAGUCCAUCAGGCCAUGAAAUAUUCAUCCUUAAACCAAAAAUGUCUGUCAUGAAUACUGUACAACACGACCCUUCCUGCAUCCUGGAACACAGUAACAGCAGCACGAUUAAAUGUAGGCACGUCAUUGUAGGAUAUAAUGUUUUCUUGCUCAAACUGAAUAUGUAGAUGUGUUUUACACUGUUUAGGAUGCAGUGUAGUAAUAACAUAGCAGUGUGUAAGAAAGGAGCCUGAAGAAAGUCGCAUUGCCUCAGUAUCUUGUUUCCUGAUAAGGCGGAGCUGUCAAAGUUGCAUACUGUGUGCAGCAACAUGUUUCUGUUGCACACAGCUCUGAAUUCAAGCCAAAUCCCUCGACUACCUGCCAUCGGACAUGGUACAGUUACCACAGGCCGUAGAUAUCCGCUUCCUUAGCACCCAUUAGCAAGCAGCCGAGGAUUUAUCACUAAUGUCAGGGAGGCAUUAACAGACCUAAUGAAAUUUCACGUUGUUCUUCAAGCAAUAUUAUCCCUGUGACCCCAGUCUUUUCACUACAGCAAGGUUUAACUGCUGAAUGUCAAACAGCUGGCUAAGCCUGUGGCAUCAAGCUUAGUUAUGUGUUUUUUUUUAUCUGUGCUCAUUUGGAUUUGUGUUCCUCUCAGAAUAACAGAAAAUAAUGGCAACCCCCCCCCAAGCCCCUUUCAGUCUGAGGUGGGUUGCAAGUUAAUGACAUCGGGCCAUGUUGCGCUUGGCUGCGUCCCCACACAUAAUUAUGGUCUUAUUGUCACAAAAAUCGCCUGCACUUGCCUCUAUAGCUGCUGUAACCCCCCCAAGAUUAACGAAAAGGCAAAUUAUCUUUAGUGUGCUGGGGCUCCAACCAUAACUGCCCUGAAAUGAGUAAUUAAAAUUUAGCUUCAUAACGAUAGGUGCAGCCUGGAAAUUAAUUGCCAUGCCUAAAAAUACAAAUUCUCAUUUUGCAUGAGAUCCGCUGCCAGUGAGAAGAUGUACAGUAGUUCAUGUAGUGAUAGUGCACUCACUUUUAAGUAUUUGUAUAUUAUCACAGUGUUUUUAAGUGUGUGGCCACAUGAAUGAGUGAGGAGAGAGGAGGGAACCCUGUUUACAUGGCCAUUAACUUUAUAAACUAUAAUCUUAAUACCAUAUAAAAGAUAUGAAUCUAAAAUACAGGCUAUAAUGUCCCAUUUGUUUCUAAUACAGUUUUUAUUAUUUGCUUUGUUAUAUCCUCCAAUAAAACACAAUAAUCUUCUAGUUUAUGUUAUUGUCUAGAAGGUUUAAAAGACACAUUUUGCACAACAGACAGUUUUGCCUGUGCUCAGAAAUGAUAAAUUUUGCUUUGUCUGAGAAUAGACUUCCUCUGUGGCCAUCAACACAAACAGUAAACAACACCAAAUGUAAAGUCUUUUCUGGUUCUGUGUACCUUCUGAUAGAGGCUGUUCUCCUGGUGCAACACUGACUGUGUGAGCUUUCCGUUUUUAAAAAAAUCAGUAGUUGUAAACCAAUUCCCUGAAAGUGAGAAAUUCUGCUGCAUUUGCCACCACCCACGGCAUUAGACAGCCUUCAAAUGCAGGCAGUCUGAGGUUCAGAGUGGAUACCUGAUCACAUUAUGGGUUAGGGCAACUCGAGUUCAGCCAUAUCAAAGAGAAUCCAUUACAUGUGCAGCACAUGGAGAGGUGGGGCGGUGAGUUGACAAGGGCGAGAGAGCCCAAGAAGGUAGAGGCUUUUAUUAAAUAAACAUUUUUUUUGGGGGGGGGGCAAUUAAA